CGCGUAGGCGGUUUAUUAAGUCAGAUGUGAAAGCCCCGGGCUCAACCUGGGAACUGCAUUUGAUACUGGUAAACUAGAGUUUGGUAGAGGGUGACGGAAUUCCAGGUGUAGCGGUGAAAUGCGUAGAUAUCUGGAGGAACAUCAGUGGCGAAGGCGGUUGCCUGGACCAAAACUGACGCUGAGGUGCGAAAGCGUGGGGAGCAAACA
rnacentral:rRNA from 1 species